CUUGACCUCAAAUCAGGUAGGACUACCCGCUGAACUUAAGCAUAU
rnacentral:rRNA from 1 species